AUACGGGGGGAGCAAGCGUUGUUCGGAUUUACUGGGCGUAAAGGGCGCGUAGGCGGCCAGCGCAAGUCAGUUGUGAAAUCUCCGGGCUUAACUCGGAAAGGUCAACUGAUACUGCGCGGCUAGAGUGCAGAAGGGGCAACUGGAAUUCUCGGUGUAGCGGUGAAAUGCGUAGAUAUCGAGAGGAACACCUGCGGCGAAGGCGGGUUGCUGGGCUGACACUGACGCUGAGGCGCGAAAGCCAGGGGAGCGAACGGGA
rnacentral:rRNA from 1 species